rnacentral:misc_RNA from 1 species
GAAAUGCGAUAAGUAGUGUGAAUUGCAGAAUUCAGUGAAUCAUCGAAUCUUUGAACGCACAUUGCGCCCUAGGGUAUUCCUUAGGGCAUGCCUGUUCGAGCGUCAUUUCCACACUCAAGCUCUGCUUGGUGAUGGGCGCCUGUUCCACCUCGGUGCGGACUCGCCUCAAAUGCAUUGGCGGCCGGUUACAUUGGCUUCGAGCGCAGCACAUUUGCGAAACUCGGGUCACUUGUUUCUCUGGCAUCCAGAAGCCACUUCCACAAUUUGACCUCGGAUCAGGUAGGGAUACCCGCUGAACUUAA